UGGGGAAUCUUGGACAAUGGGGGCAACCCUGAUCCAGCCAUGCCGCGUGAGUGAUGAAGGCCUUAGGGUCGUAAAGCUCUUUCGCCUGUGAAGAUAAUGACGGUAGCAGGUAAAGAAACCCCGGCUAACUCCGUGCCAGCAGCCGCGGUAAUACGGAGGGGGUUAGCGUUGUUCGGAAUUACUGGGCGUAAAGCGCACGUAGGCGGACCAGAAAGUUGGGGGUGAAAUCCCGGGGGCUCAACCCCGGAACUGCCUCCAAAACUAUUGGUCUAGAGUUCGAGAGAGGUGAGUGGAAUUCCAAGUGUAGAGGUGAAAUUCGUAGAUAUUAGGUGGAACACCAGUGGCGAAGGCGCCUAACUGGUCCGGUACUGACGCUGAGGAACGAAAAGCGUGGGGAGCAAACAGGAUUAGAUACCCUGGUAGUCCACGCCGUAAAACGAUGAGUGCUAGAUGUUGGGA
rnacentral:rRNA from 1 species